AGCAGGAGUGAGAGUUUAUUAAAAAGUUUUAGAGCAGGAACAAAAGGAAGUACACUACACUUGGGUCAGGCAGGCAACUUGAGAGAUCUAAGUGCCCUGCCUGACCCUUAACUUGGGGUUUUAUGUAUUUGGCAUAGUUCUGGGAUUUACGUCUCAUCUCCCCUGAUUCUUCCCUUGCAGCAGGCUGUCCGCGUAUGUGGUGACCUGCCAGCACUUGGAAGGGGUCGCAUGCACAGUGUGAUUACUGAAGUUGCGCGCAUGCUCACUUGAGGCAUUUUUCCCCUUACCAGUCGUGCGUUCCCAGAGGAAGGUAGGUCAUAUACUGGUUAAAUUCCGCCAUUUUGCCUCUUGGUGCGCAUGCUCCAGGCUGCUUGCCCAGCUCCUGAGAUCUUAUCGGGAAGCGGCUGAUCACCAGAUCAGGGUGUUUUGUAUCUAUUGAGAGACUGUCCUUGCUUGGAGCUGGCUGCAACCAAUUAUUAUUUUACAGAGACAGUUUAACAACCACCUGACCAUCACCUGAUGGUAGCCUGACAUUCCUGUGGGGGCCCUCACCUGUCCUGCUCAUGUUUGCCUAGCUCCCUACUCUAACAUUUCCACUCUGUGGACCCCAGGUUGAGAUCUUCUGCAGGGAAGACUGUCCUCAAAUAGCCUGCUGGGGAGACAUCUCCUUCCCGUUUACCUUUCCAUUUGCCCUUGCGGUGUUAGGCAAAGGCUGAAGCUGGCCUCUGUGGCAGAGGGUUUCUUCCCAACACGCCAAUGACGCUGGUGGAGAGUCUUAAAAACAGCUGUGCUGGGGAGAGUUCUUGGUGUGUACCUUUCAGAGACCUCCUCCUUAAGACUCUCAAAGACUGAGUCAGGCCAGUGGGAGCCUGGCAGCAAUUCUUAGGGGACAGUGACAGCUUUUUGAGGAGGACUAAUUGGCUUCUAGGGCUGGAGGCCACUUGGGUCUGACAGACUGCCCUGCUGCCAUCCCUCCAGGGCACCCCCCACUCCCUUGCCUCAGGGCCUUCCUGCACUUCUUCCUUUUGUCCUCAAUGUUCUUCACCCCACCUUUUCCACUGGUACCCUCUGCCUAUGGUCAAGGCUUUGGUGAGACCCACUUUCCUCUUAGACCUUCCUGGAUCCCCCAAAGUCUGUGUUGGAAGCCCCUCCCAUGUGCCCUUGUUUGAGCUUUUAAUUUUCCACCAUGACGCUUGUCACACUGCUUUGUAAUUGGCUCUCUGUUAGUCUGCAUCUCUACUGGGUUGUACCUUCCAGGAGGACAGCUGCCAUGUGACUCUUGUAAUCUUCCCACCGCCAACACCCAGCACAGCGUCAGGAACACAGAGCAUGAUGAGCACAAGCUUGAGGGAGGAUCACUUGAGCCCAGAAGUUCGAGACCAGCCUGGGCACCAUGGUGAAACCUCAUCUCUGCAAAAAAAAAAUUAAAAAUUAGCCAGCUAUGGCGGCUCACGCCUCUGGUCCCAGCUACCCAGGAAGCUGAGAUGGGAGGAUCGCUUGAGCCCAGGGGUUCGAGGCUGCGGUGAGCCAUUGUUGUGCCACUGCACUCCAGCCUGGGCAACAGAGCAAGCCCCUGUCUCAACAAAACAAAACAAAACAAAAAAUUCAGUCGUGCUGCAUAAGUAAGGCACCAGGAGUAGGAAUAGGGUCUUUGCAGCUCCCGUGGCAAUUGCCCUUCUCUGGUGGUGGCAAGGGACUAAGGAACUCCCUGGACACAGGGGAUCUGGCUGUCCCCAGAUCAUCAACAGAGACAUGAAGGUCGUUAGAGGUCGUCUGAUCCUUUGACCUCAAUCUGAGCCCACCACUCAGAAAACCUGGAAAUUGUAUGACAUUUUCGUGAUACAACUCGGUGUGUGUGUGUUGGGGAAAGGAACCAACAGCUUUCAUCAUAUUGUCAAAAGAGUCUAGGCUGGGCAUGGUGGCUCACGCCUGCAAUCCCAACCCAAAGGCCUGUGGAGCACACAUGAGGACAAGGCGGGCAGAUCACCAAAGGUCAGGCAUUCGAGAUCAGCCUGGCCAACGUGGUGAAACCCCAUCUCUACUAAAAAUACAAAAAUUAGCCAGGCGUGGUGACAUGUGCCUGUAAUCCCAGCUACUCGGGAGGCUGAGACAGGAGAACUGCUUGAACCCAGGAGGCGGAGGUUGCAGUGAGCAGAGGUUGCGCCGCUGCAGUCCAGCCCGGGCAACAAGAGCGAAUCUCCGUCUCAAAACAACAAAACAAAAACAUAGACCUGCUCGGUUCUCUCUGUGACUUCAGAGGCCCAAGGAGUCCUCAGCACUAUAGAUGCAUGUGGCCCCUCAGAAGACAACAUUUCACAGAUCUGCAAAGAGCAAAGGUCAAAUUUAUUUAAUACAACAUCCACGAGGGUCCCUGCAGCUGUGUCACUGAGGCAAACAGGAAAAGUGAUUUUGGCUAGGCGUGGUUCUCAUCUGUGAAAUUCCACAGCGCAAUGACAGCAGCCUCUCUCCCACCCACUCAAGACACUGUCAGGAAUGUCUUAAGACCUCAGGAGACCACUUCUUUAGCAAGCAAUUUUGUUUUUUGUUUUUUUUGAGAUGGAUUCUCACUCUGUCACUCAGGCUGGAGUGCAGUGGCGCGAUCUCCGCUCACUACAACCUCCGUUUCCUGGGUUCAAGCGAUAAUCUCACCUCAGCCUCUUGAGUAGCUGAUACUACAGGCAUGCGCCACCACGCCCGGCUAAUUCUUGUAUUUUUAGUAGAGACAGGGUUUCAUCAGGCUGGUCUCAAACUCCUGACCUCAGGUGAUCCGCCCACCUCAGCCUCCUGAAGUGCUGGGAUUACAGGCGUGAGCCACCUUGCCUGCCCUGGCAAGGAAUACAUUUUUAAAAAUUAGUAAGAAACAUACACAUUUCAAGUUUUCAAUUAAGAAUAAUAUUUGCUGAUGGCACCAUCUUCCUGUCUUUCAGCCUUCAGCAUGGUAGAGGAAAAGAGAAAGAGUGUAGACAAAAACAGUUGAAGAACAUCUGUGCUUGUUCCACCUUCAUUUUCUGUUUUGUGCGUUGCCUGAAUGAACGGUGUCUUCAGGUUGGUAUUUCACAGGCGGUGCUCCCAAGUAGUCUGGUUUUCCCAUUUGUGGAGGGCGAGGUCAUAGAGGGGACAGGGGGAGGCUGUCUGGUCAGCACUGUGUAUUUCCAAAGAACAAGGACUAGCCAAAACUACAAGCCUUUGAAGGACCAAAGGAAAAGAGAAAAAACCAGCCUCUAACCAGGCCAUGCGCUAGAAAUGAUUGAGUAUAAAAAAGAAAAUUGGUUUCUGUGUAUGAGGGUGCAUGGAAAAGGUCUUUAUCUCUGCACAAAACAAAAUAUUCAAGUUUCAGAAUAUCCCAAUGGCCUUGCCCUGGAUCUCCUCUUGUGCUCUUCCAAUUUCCAAGGAUGUUCCAACUUGGUGGAAGGAGGGUAUGUGGGAAAUUCAACAGCCCCUCUGUAUCUCUUUCUACCCAACAUUAACUUAGCAGGAUGGAUUUAAGAACCGGCAGCUUAGCCUGAGGAAUUGCUGUGUUCUGUGGGAGCAGGGCAGGUUCAUAAAUAAGUGCACAGAGGUCUUGAAAUACAGGGAUUAUCUGUUCUUCUCGGAACAUGGAUGUCCUUCCAGGGAUGUGCAUCUGGCCUUGCUGUCUAAGUUCCAUCAAGGGAGCCUUCCGUUCUCUGUAGCGACAAGAAACAAGGCAAGUUAUGAUCACACCUCUCAAGAUUGAAGAUUGCCCUGGUGGAGAGAAAUGCAAAAUGACAGCACUUCUCAAAGAAAAUGCAAAGCAGGGCUGUCACACACUGGUCCCCCACCCUGCAGGGUUCUCUCUGUGACUUCAGAGGCCCAAGGAGUCCUCAGCACUACAGAUACACGUGGCCCCUCAGAAGACAACAUUUCACAGAUCUGCAAAGAAUAAAGGUCAAAUUUACUUAAUACAACACCCACCAGGGUUCCUGCAGCUGUGUCACUGAGGCAAACAGGGAAAGUAAUUUUGGUUAGGUGUGGUUCUCACCUCUGAAAUUCCACAGCACAAUGACUGCAGCCUCUCUCCCACCCACUCAAGACAUUGUCAGGAACGUCUUAAGACCUCAGGAGACCACUUCUUUAGCAAGCAAUUUUUUUUAGAUGGAUUCUCACUCUGUCACUCAGGCUGGAGUGCAGUGGCGCGGUCUCUGCUCACUACACCCUCCCUCUCCUGGCUCCUGCCCGUAUGUAUUUCUCCUUCUCUCCAUGCCUGCUCUGUAGGGACCAUAGCCUCUGUCCCUGCAUACAUGUUGGACAUCAAUCACAUCAGUCCACCAAGUAACUUCAUCAAGCACCCAUGUACGCCCAGCACAGCGUCCCAAGGGUGCCCCACUUACCCACAGAAGAAGAAAGGCAACUUUGUAAGAGAUCUGACUUCUAGCUCCAGUUCUGUCUCUAGCUAACGUGAGAUGUACCCGUUUGAGGCCUGUUUUUUAAUUUUGAAAAUGAAGGACUGAACUUAGAUGGUCCAACUGAAAUGUUUUAAAAUGAUAUGAUUCUACCUUAAAAAGAGAAUGAAAUUCUGAUAUAUUUUCAACACAGGAAAACCUUGAAAACGUUAUGCUAAAUGAAAUAAGGCAGACAUGAAAGGACAAAUAUAUGAUUCCACUUAUGUGAUGUACCUCAAAUAGUCAAAUUCAUAGAGACAGAAAGUAGACAGUGGUUGCUAGGGGUUGCUGGAGGGGCAAUGGGGAGUUAGUGUUUAAUGGGUACAGUGUUUCAGUGGCUGCUCUGCCUAUGGAGUAGCCAUUCUUUUGUUUCUUUACUUCUCUAAUAAACUUGCUUUCACUUAAAAAGAAAAAGCUCUGGAGAUGGAUAGUGGUGGUGGUUGCACAGCAAUGUGAACGGACCUAAUGCAACUGAAUUAUACACUUUAAAAUGGUUAAGUAUACACUGGAAAAUGGUGAAUUUGCCGGGCGGGCGCAGUGGCUCACGCCUGUAAUCCCAACACUUUGGGAGGCCGAGGCGGGUG
rnacentral:lncRNA from 1 species